AUUGAGCGCUGGCGGCAUGCCUUACACAUGCAAGUCGAACGGCAGCGGGGGAGAAGCUUGCUUUUCCUGCCGGCGAGUGGCGAACGGGUGAGUAAUACAUCGGAACGUGCCCUGUAGUGGGGGAUAACUAGUCGAAAGAUUAGCUAAUACCGCAUACGACCUGAGGGUGAAAGUGGGGGACCGCAAGGCCUCAUGCUAUAGGAGCGGCCGAUGUCUGAUUAGCUAGUUGGUGGGGUAAAGGCCUACCAAGGCGACGAUCAGUAGCUGGUCUGAGAGGAAGAUCAGCCACACUGGGACUGAGACACGGCCCAGACUCCUACGGGAGGCAGCAGUGGGGAAUUUUGGACAAUGGGCGAAAGCCUGAUCCAGCAAUGCCGCGUGUGUGAAGAAGGCCUUCGGGUUGUAAAGCACUUUUGUCCGGAAAGAAAUGGCUCUGGUUAAUACCUGGGGUCGAUGACGGUACCGGAAGAAUAAGGACCGGCUAACUACGUGCCAGCAGCCGCAGUAA
rnacentral:rRNA from 1 species